CCAUUAACCUGCCACGCAUGUUUUUGGAAUGUGGGAGGAAGCUGGAGUACCGGGAGAACAUGCAAACUCCCCACAGGAAGGCCAGAGCUGGAAUUGAACCUGGUACCUCGCGCUACCUUACCUCUCUGAACUCAUCCGCCCCUACACACCUGCCCGGCGCCUCAGGUCUGCGGACCAGACAUGAUUGGAGCUGCUGUCAGGCCAAACCACCUAACAUCUGGGGCCAAAGACGAGGAAAUCGAUGGCUUCAUCUGGCUCCCGAUCGGGAUGGUGACAGGAAGGAGAGGAUGAAAAGAAAAAGACAUGGAGAGCACAACAAUUUGAUGGAUGGAAAAUGGUUCAAGAGCAAGCUGCAUCCCAGUUUGGACUCUUGUUAAAUAACGAAAAGUGCAGUUUAUGUGCAGGUUCACAAAUAAUGAAAAUAAGCAUCUUUUUAUAACAGUC